rnacentral:rRNA from 1 species
UACGGGGGGGGCGAGCGUUGUUCGGAAUUACUGGGCGUAAAGGGCGCGUAAGCGGGCGGGUAAGUCUCUCGUGAAAGCCCACGGCUCAACCGUGGAAUUGCGGGAGAUACUACUUGUCUUGAGUCCGGGAGAGGAGUGUGGAAUUCCCAGUGUAGCGGUGAAAUGCGUAGAUAUUGGGAGGAACACCGGUGGCGAAGGCGGCACUCUGGACCGGAACUGACGCUGAGGCGCGAAAGCUAGGGGAGCAAACGGG